rnacentral:rRNA from 1 species
AUUGAACGCUGGCGGCAUGCCUAACACAUGCAAGUCGAGCGGGGUUUUCGGACCUAGCGGCGGACGGGUGAGUAAUGCGUAGGAAGCUGCCCGAUAGAGGGGGAUACCAGUUGGAAACGGCUGUUAAUACCGCAUAAUGUCUACGGACCAAAGUGUGGGACCUUCGGGCCACAUGCUAUCGGAUGCGCCUACGUGGGAUUAGCUAGUUGGUGAGGUAAUGGCUCACCAAGGCGACGAUCUCUAGCUGGUUUGAGAGGAUGAUCGGCCACACUGGAACUGAGACACGGUCCAGACUCCUACGGGAGGCAGCAGUGGGGAAUAUUGGACAAUGGGCGCAAGCCUGAUCCAGCCAUGCCGCGUGUGUGAAGAAGGCCUUCGGGUUGUAAAGCACUUUCAGCGAGGAGGAAGGGUGGUGUGUUAAUAGCACAUCAUUUUGACGUUACUCGCAGAAGAAGCACCGGCUAACUCUGUGCCAGCCGCCGCAGUAAGAC